UACGUAGGGUGCAAGCGUUAAUCGGAAUUACUGGGCGUAAAGCGUGCGCAGGCGGUUUGUAAGUCAGAUGUGAAAUCCCCGGGCUCAACCUGGGAACUGCAUCUGUGACUGUAUAGCUAGAGUACGGUAGAGGGGAUGGAAUUCCGCGUGUAGCAGUGAAAUGCGUAGAUAUGCGGAGGAACACCGAUGGCGAAGGCAAUCCCCUGGACCUGUACUGACGCUCAUGCACGAAAGCGUGGGGAGCAAACAGG
rnacentral:rRNA from 1 species